rnacentral:rRNA from 1 species
AACGCGAAGAACCUUACCUACCCUUGACAUGUCCUGGAGCCUGGUGAAAGCCGGGUGUGCCCGAAAGGGAACGGGAACACAGGUGCUGCAUGGCUGUCGUCAGCUCGUGUCGUGAGAUGUUGGGUUAAGUCCCGCAACGAGCGCAACCCUUGUCAUUAGUUGCUACAUUCAGUUGGGCACUCUAAUGAGACUGCCGGUGACAAACCGGAGGAAGGUGGGGAUGACGUCAAGUCCUCAUGGCCCUUAUGGGUAGGGCUUCACACGUAAUACAAUGGCGCGUACAGAGGGCUGCUAAGCCGCGAGGUAGAGCCAAUCCCUUAAAGCGCGUCGUAGUCCGGAUUGCAGUCUGCAACUCGACUGCAUGAAGUCGGAAUCGCUAGUAAUCGCGGAUCAGCAUGUCGCGGUGAAUACGUUCCCGGGCCUUGUACACACCGGUAUCUC